rnacentral:rRNA from 1 species
UACGUAGGGGGCUAGCGUUGUCCGGAAUCAUUGGGCGUAAAGCGCGCGUAGGCGGCCCGGUAAGUCCGCUCUGAAAGUCCAGGGCUCAACCCUGGAAAGCGGGUGGAUACUGCCGGGCUAGAAUCCGGAAGAGGCGAGUGGAACUCCUGGUGUAGCGGUGGAAUGCGCAGAUAUCAGGAGGAACACCAAUAGCGAAGGCAGCUCGCUGGGACGUUACUGACACUGAGGCGCGAAAGCGUGGGGAGCGAACAGG